UGGGAUGUGGCUCAGCGGUAGAGCGCUUGCCUAGCACGGGCAGGGGACUGGGUUCGAUCCUCAGCACCACAU
rnacentral:tRNA from 1 species